rnacentral:tRNA from 1 species
UUAAAGCGCCCAACUCAUAAUUGGCAAAUUCGUAGGUUCAAUUCCUGCUGGAUGCA